AAGGAAGGAAGGAAGGAAGGAAGGAAGAAGGAAGGAAGGAAGGAAGAGAAGGAUGGACGGAGAGAAAUGAGAGGGAGAAACUUUUAAUAAUCAAGAUUUAAUGAGAAAAGUUUAUAAAACACGACAGGAAGAUGAAUGUGUCAAAGUGUCAAAGAUCAUUUAUCUGGUGAGGAAAUUAUUGGUGAUUGUUGAGCUGUCACAGCUGUUUGAAUCUGACUUUUGAAAAACAAAUCAUCAGUUUUUCCAAUUUUACAAAGUUUUCACCACAAAUACCCAAAAUAAAGUUUUCAUGCCUGUCUACUUUCUCACCGUAGCUCUUUGCUCUAGAUAAAACAAAUACGGAAUUUUCAGUGUGUGAAAAUGUCAAAAUUGUUUUUUUACAAAGUGAUUUCAGUGAGCAGGAAUGAAUUUAACUCUCGAUUGAUCUCGUUUCUGUCACUGACUUCAGAUCCUGCUGAGUUUUCAUCAAAGCUAUCAGUUGAGUCAGUGCCAGAAGAUGACAAACGGAAGAACUAUGGAGGUGUGUACGUGGGGUUGCCUACAGACCUGAGCAGCAUACCCCAAGUCCAGAUUGGCUCACUCAGAGGUCUUAAAUGGUUUCACGUAGUCCUACACCUCUACAGUUUAUUCUUCUGGUUUAAGGACAAACUGCACCCUUCUGAUGAGAGCCUCCGAGAGACUCGCUAUCCCUCAGGAAACCGCUGUGGGGGGACUGACUCUGGUUUUAAUGAAGAGCCAAGCCUGUGCAUGCUUCACUGUGUACAGAGGAAGAAUGACACAGCGUGAGAGAGUUUGUCGAGUGAGGAAAAAGAAACCCUGCAGGCGUUCAUCAGCUCCUCCUGUGUUGUCAUCAGGAACCCACUGAGUCUCCACUGAGCAGCAGCAGCACCCAGCAGAGCCAAUUUCAUCUCUCAGCGUCCCCUCAGAGGCUUGAAUGGGAUCAACUCCACCUGAUUCAGCUGACUGCGGCAACCCUGACAAACUGGUUAGAGAGUCCAGACGUAGAUUUGGACCUGGACAUUCAAAUUGGUCACAGUUUGCUGCUCAGGCGACGUAACGCUGCAGGCUUUUUAUUCCAGGCAGAUGCACCAGUGGGAGCUCAGCAUUUGGCCUCAUUGGAGUGAUUGGUAGCUGCCAUCUGUCCCUAUUACUUUUGUUCAGUUUUUGUGAAUAUUAUGGCAUAGCUCCUCUUGUCAUUGAAAAAUUAAGUCAUUAGGUAUGCUUUAUAUGUUUUUGUAUUGUCAGCCAAUGGCUUUACAAUUUUUGAAUGAUUCACGUGAGAUUAAACUGCUCACAGAACACAAUAUGCAGCUUACAGCUCAGUCACAUUAGAGUUUUUCCUCUGGCAACCUUCUGGCAGAUAGGGAAAUUUGUUAGUUGAAUUGUUUGUUGCAAACUAAAAGACUACCCAUAAGUUAAGCAUACAAAACUCUCAACCUCUGGGCAAUUACAUUUGAUCCCAAUGCAAUUGCACAGGUAGCCUUGUGGGAUGGAACCUGUCGGCAAACAUCUUGAUGUAUGCUCAAUCAUCCAGGUAAGUAAAUCCCCAAAAGUUGAUUCUGUUUAUCUGGAUGUAGCGUUUUC